GUUAUCGCACCUCUCUUGCACGACACACCCACAACCCAGACGGGACGGACCCAUCCUCUCCGAGAGUGUUCCGUUCUUCUUUUUUCCUCACGUUACCUCUUCAAAGAUUUUCGCUUUUUCCCCCUUGGCCAGGAGAGACGUCAGCAGCAGGAAGAAGAGAAGAAGCUGAGGAGGGAGACGGAGGAGGAGCGGUUUAAGACGGCCCAGAAAAAGAGGCAGAACUUGAGGGAGCAGUGGCUCAGUGAAACAGCUCCAGCUCCUGUCCCUGCAUCACUUGAGAUCUCUAAGCCUGGUCCACCACUUCAGGACAAAGCAGAGCAGCACACAGCAACGGAACAAACCAAAAGUCAGAAGACGCCCGAGGACGAGGAGGCAGCUGAUGCCAGAAAAGAGGAACAAGCCUCACAAGAAGAAAACAAAGACUCUGUCAACCGUUCAACCGCUGCCAGAACAGACAAACACUAUCGGGCUGGCGCUGACGAGGACGCACAAGUGAAUAAACAGACUGAGGAUCACUUCUCCAUACAAAUGGCACAAAGGAUGUUUCAUGAAAGCAGGCAAGAUGGGCGAUCAGGUAAGGCUCGAGAGUAGACUUUGUUGUAACUGUAGAAGGAUUGCACAGUAUAGAGCGCUGGUGUAAUUACCAGAUUAAGGACUCCCUGGUCAUGUCUUCACUACUUUUGGCUCAAAAUCUGGGUUGAGUAAGUGUGGUUUAGCUCAAAUAACUGUCCCACGAUGAGUUUGAUGAGUUCAUAAAGGUCCCGUCUAACUACAGCUCUUUGUGUUGCCGAAUGUUUUACUGUGGAACAUGAUAAAUAUAAGAUUUGCUAAACAGGAAUUUCAGCCACGUAAUAUCAGAAUAUCAUCAGUCAUCCGUCCAGUCUCCUCUCCUCUCGCAAAUGAUGACCCCUUUAUUUGAUAUGGCUCUGCCCUCGGGGUUCGACUUAACGAUGGCACUGAGGUGAGCGGCCUGGGAAACAAGGUUAUAUUUAGCCCACUUUAUUAUUUCUGUUCGUUAAUUCUUUAUGCCCGCUGGAUGGCUGUGUGGAGCAGAGAGCUGCUGGAUUGUGUCUCUAUAUAUUGUCUAUGGUGCCGGCUCACAUCAGAGACGCAGAACUCUGAUCCUGACCUGGAAUUGACCGUUUUACUUCUCCCCUCUUAAUUAAACCCAGGCCUGUGAUACAUGUAAGAACAGUUUGAGUGGAUGAAAAUAUCGACUUGACUUCAGCUGCAGAGAAUUUUAAUAUUUACCAGAGAUAUAACCUUUAGAGUUGUAUUCCCUCUUAAUUUUAUCAUCCAGAUUUAAAUUCUGUUCCGUCUCCUUUAUUACAGUCCUGGGAACAGUGGCAGUGCAAGUUGAGAGAGACCCCAGGACGGGUGCCACCGUCGUCAGGUCAGUGGCCCCCGUGG
rnacentral:lncRNA from 1 species